rnacentral:rRNA from 1 species
GUACACUCCUGCGGGAGGCAGCAGUGGGGAAUAUUGCACAAUGGGCGCAAGCCUGAUGCAGCCAUGCCGCGUGUAUGAAGAAGGCCUUCGGGUUGUAAAGUACUUUCAGCGGGGAGGAAGGCGAUAAGGUUAAUAACCUUGUCGAUUGACGUUACCCGCAGAAGAAGCACCGGCUAACUCCGUGCCAGCAGCCGCGGUAAUACGGAGGGUGCAAGCGUUAAUCGGAAUUACUGGGCGUAAAGCGCACGCAGGCGGUCUGUCAAGUCGGAUGUGAAAUCCCCGGGCUCAACCUGGGAACUGCAUUCGAAACUGGCAGGCUAGAGUCUUGUAGAGGGGGGUAGAAUUCCAGGUGUAGCGGUGAAAUGCGUAGAGAUCUGGAGGAAUACCGGUGGCGAAGGCGGCCCCCUGGACAAAGACUGACGCUCAGGUGCGAAAGCGUGGGGAGCAAACAGGAUUAGAAACCCCUGUAGUCCCAU